UGUACAAUUGAGGCUUCAUUUGUCAAAGAAGACCAAAAUAAGAAGCACAAGCACAGUGAAGGAGGAAAUGAACUGGAAGAAAAAAAGGCCCUUUUCUACUAGCAAGCAGUCACAAUGUUCCCCCAACCUCAUACCCCACCCCCACCCACAUUGGGUGGAAUAGUCCCAAUGAACCGAAGAUUUGAAGGGAGCUGUAAUUUGCCAUCCCUUCUAAAUAACAGCGGGUGGAGCGGUUAAAAACAAAACUAAAAACGGGAAGAUGGGGGGACACCGGCGGGAGGAAGGCGUGUGCAAGAGCACGGGGGUAUUACCUGAAAAGGCAACAGAUUGUUACCAUUAUCGGUCCGGAAAGCGUUAUCCUCCAUCCAGGAUUUGGAGUGAGAGAUGUGCUUAUAAGACAGAAAGACAGCAAUUUCGCCACGUCUCUUUCCCCUUCACCGGAACUCCGAGCGUUCAUCCUGCGAUGAGAAACUGAUUCUGGUUCCUGUUUUUUUCCCAAGCACCACCCUCCCCCAGCUAUUUGCAUACGUCAAUAAAUAGUGCUGCGUCCUUCAGCAAGGUUAAAAAGACGAGAUACACGACCCUCUCUUUUCCCCUUCCCCAGCUGGAGCACUUAAAAAAAAGAGAGAGAGAGAGAGAGAGA